UGGAAACUUGAUAAAGACCUGGGUACAGGUCGAAACGUUGCAGUGUCCAAUAAACCUGCUUAAAUCUAUCACAGUGAGUGCCUGAGAUUUUUUCUUUUAUACUAGGGGACACUGAGACACUAGGAGACAUGGGGACACUGGGAGACAUUGGGACACUGAGACACUGGGAGACUAGGGGACUUUGGGAGACUAGGAAACACUGAGACACUACGGACACUGGAACACUACGGACACUGAGAGACAACAAGGAUACUGGGAGACAUGGGGAUACUGAGAUACUAGGGACACUGACUGGGAGAUAUGGGACACUGGGAGUGCCCCAUGUCUCCCAGGUCUGAAAGUCCCCCAGUGUCCCCAUGUCUCUCAGUGUUCCCUAGUGUUUCAGUUUCCCCAUGUAGCCCAGUGUCCCCUAGUGUUUGUAUCCCCAUGUCUCCCAGUGUCGCUUAGAGUCUGUAUCCCCGUGUCUCCCAGUGUCGCUUACAGUCUGUGUCCCCGUGUCUCCC